rnacentral:lncRNA from 1 species
CAGCUGCAUUAUUUCCAGGAGCUGGGCUGAGGCUAAGCCGAGGGGCUGGUCCUGCUGCCUGUGCAGAGCCCAGCUCCCUGCACCACCACUGCCUCCCCAGCACAGAGAAUGAGCAUCUGAAGCAAAACUGUGUGAGGACGGGGUAACUGAGAGGGAAUGUCCCUUCCCUGCCAUUUGCCCACAGUUGAUGAAACAGAAAACAUGCAACAUUCAUGGCACUUCAAAGAAAGGAAGAAAAACUAAUUUCUGACUCUACUCCUCUUCUGCCUCAACAAAGCUACUGGAAGCCACUACAAGCAGGUGUGGGUGGAUCAACAGGGAGCUCCUGCGGUGGCAAAUAGGAGGCAGGAUGGAACAUGGAUGGCACGGCUCUUCUCCCUCUUCAGCAGGCUAGUUGGGGUAAGUUCCUUCCUGCAACCCUACCAAAUGACCAAUGAUAAGCCAACACCCUGCUUUUCCUGGGUGUGGGGUCAUCU